ACGGAUGUGUGACGACUUUCGGUCUUGUUGUCGCUGAUGCGUUCAGGAAAAUACAGCCGCGUGUACGGCCAAAUGGCGCCAAAUGCAUCUCGGAAUAGCCUCUCGGAGUCUUUUAAGUUGUUCAGUGGGAGAGUACGACUAAAUCAAGGGGAGGGAGGCACGUGUCAAGGUGUAGUGAGGCAUGCAGCAGGAAGUUGGCCCCCCGGAGGUGAAGACUGAUAAGACGUCAAUAGAGUAGAAGGCGUUCAAGUCGGUCAGCGGUUUGUCAUUUCCUUUCGGGACUGGAGCUGGAGGUCUCCAUCUCCAUCCCUCUGCGCAUAUCCUUUGCGCAUGCGCGCGCAUUCAAUAAGGAGGAGAAGCAGAACAGAACGGAGCCCUGAAGGAGAGCCGCAGAACAGAACAGAGCAGACCAGACCACAGCGGAGGGAGGCUAACAAUCGAGCUGAAUGCAUCUUUAUCGACUUGGCCACAAAAAUUUCUUUUUUGCAGCUGCCGUCUUGGUAUUUUAAGUGUCGCUUUGUGUGCGUGUGUGCGUGUGUGUGCGUGUGUAUGGGGCAGUGGUAGUGGUGUUUUCCACGUUGCGGUUCUCUCCAUUCUCUUUCUCUAUACCGUUCUUAGGAGAGAGAUUUCUGCUGUCCUACUACAAAUGUUUUGGCUUGAAAUAAAGACUAAAGCCGCUUAA